rnacentral:lncRNA from 1 species
CAUCAAGUCUUAACUAUUUGAGUAUUUCUCUCCACUAGGCAAUGAUCUUGUAGAAAGAAAGCCUAUCAUAUCUGCUUUUGUAUUCCACCGUCUGAGACAUAAUGGCACUCAGGAAAUAUUUCUUGAACUACCAGAAUAUUGUCUAAGAUAGGAUCUCCCCAUGCAAUCUAGGCUGGCCUAUAACUAGAGAGUCUUCUGCCUCACCCUCUGUAAUUACAGUCACGCACCACCAUGGCAAGGAGUUAAUUUUUGAAAGCUUAUUUUUCCUCUUUUAUCUUGACCCAUCUUAUUUAGUUACUCCAAGACUGACAGCAAGAAAUUCUAUCACAGUUCUUAUAAGUCUGGACAGAGUUUUCUCUUCACUGAAGAGGGUCUCGGUGAAACACUUUGGAGAAAACAAAAGCAAAGAAGACAAGAGGGAAAGAAGAAAAUAAAUUAAGGAGAGAGAAUCAGAGAUUCAGAAAAAAGGCAUUACCUGGUUACAAGUACAACUGGUGAAUGUUUCAUGUGUCAUGACAGUUCAAGCAGCACUUAACUCUUUAAAUCUGCAACAGAAGUGACAUUACUAGGUGUGUGUGGGAAUGUCCCCAUAGUAUUUUGUUGUUCUGAAGAUCUGAGACUUCUCUUCUUUGAGCCCUUAGGUCAAAUUUACUCCAAGUUGCUAGUGUUAUGGUUUUCUGAAAUACUAUUCUUACCAUAUAUUAAAACCUGUAAUUUAUUUAUUUAUAUAUAAUAUUGGAAUGCAUUGCAGUGAAUACACCCAAAAGCAAUUUUUAUUGAAAGUAAUAUAGUCAGGAAAAGACAGUUGCACACUUAGUAGAAUAAAUGGUGUAGGCUUUGUUGUCUCA